rnacentral:tRNA from 1 species
CGCGGGGUAGAGCAGUUUGGUAGCUCGUCGGGCUCAUAAUCCGAAGGUCAUAGGUUCAAAUCCUAUCCCCGCAA